UGAUUCGCUGGCAGCUUCUCCUCACCACAUCCCAACCAUGGCUGUGUUUCUGCAGCUGCUACCGCUGCUGCUCUCGAGGGCCCAAGGGAACCAAGGGGCUUCUCUGGACGGCCGCCCUGGGGACCGGGUGAAUCUCUCUUGCGUAGGAGUCUCUCACCCCAUCCGCUGGGUCUGGGCGCCCAGCUUUCCGGCCUGCAAGGGCCUCUCCAAAGGACGCCGACCGAUCCUGUGGGCCUCUUCGAGCGGGACCCCCACCGUGCCUCCCCUCCAGCCUUUUGUAGGCCGCCUUCGCUCCCUGGACUCUGGUAUCCGGCGGCUGGAGCUCCUCUUGAGCGCUGGGGACUCGGGCACCUUUUUCUGCAAGGGCCGCCACGAGGACGAGAGCCGUACAGUGCUUCACGUGCUGGGGGACAGGACCUAUUGCAAGGCUCCCGGGCCUUCCCAUGGGUCCCUGUAUCCCCAGCUCCUGAUCCCGCUGCUGGGCGCUGGACUAGUGCUGGGACUGGGAGCUUUGGGCCUGGUCUGGUGGCUGCACAGGCGCUUGCCCCGGCAACCGAUUCGACCACUCCCUAGAUUUGCUCUGUCCCCUCCACAUAGCUCCACUUGUGAAAACUGAGCCCCAGAGGCCAGUAAAGGAGGAAGAGCCCAAGAUUCCAGGGGACCUGGACCAGGAACCGAGCCUGCUCUAUGCGGAUCUGGACCAUCUAGCCCUCAGCAGGCCCCGCCGGCUGUCCACAGUGGACCCUGCUGAUGCCUCCACCAUCUAUGCAGUUGUAGUUUGAAGGGAAGCCCUUACUCCAAACCUCCCAAGCUAGGGGAUCCCAGCUACCCAUAAUCCCUCUCCCCUCCUUGGUCCCUCACCUGGAAGAGGAAGGCACCAUGGUAUAGAAAUAAGUGCUGGACUGGGAGUUGGGAGACCUGGGCUCUAGGCUGUCUCUGCCACUGAUCUUACUCCUAAACUUAAUUACAUCUCUCCUAUAACCUCCAUGUCUCCCUCAUCACCGGUGUCCUCUCUAUAUCCAGUCAAGCCCUAGCUCCUAUCUCAUGACAUCAAAAGUCCCAGACAGUUGCCUUAUCUCUUCCCUUCCCUUCACAGUCAAGCUUUGGAACCAGGGGCAUACACCUGCCUCUUCCAUUUUCUUCUCCUUCACUUUAUCCCCACUGCUCAUAUGUUGAAAUUGCUUAUCUGCUCUCCAUAAGAUUGCCAGUAACGUCCUAAUAGCCACACCCAGUAGACAUUUUUAGCAUUCAUCUGGUUUGGUCUCUGAUUACUCCAUUCCUUUUUUUUUUUUUUUGAGAUAGAGUCUCGCUCUGUCACCCAGGCUGGAGUGCAGUGGUGCGGUCUUGGCUCACUGCAAGCUCCGCUUCCCGGGUUCACGCCAUUCUCCUGCCUCUGCCUCCUGAGUAGCUGGGACUACAGGCGCCUGCCAACACGCCCAGCUAAUUUUUUGUAUUUUUGGUAGAGACGGGGUUUCACUGUGUUAGCCAGGAUGGUCUUGAUCUCCUGACCUCAUGAUCCACCCGCCUCGGCCUCCCAAAGUGCUGGGAUUACAGGUGUGAGCCACAGCGCCCGGCCUGAUUACUCCAUUCUUUAAGCUCUAUUUUACUUUGUUGCUGGUGUUUUCUUUUUGGACUCCUCUUCCUUGCUCCAUAUCCCUACAGUAUUCCCCAUCAUUCUAGGUUUGUCCCUUUCUGUUCUUCUGGGACACUCUCAUCCACAGUUAGUCCUCAGCUCCCACUUCUGCAAAUGACACCCAGAACUCUGUCUGGCUCAGAUCUCAGAUUUGGGAUUAACAAACUUCCCCUUAGACAUUCUGCCUGACUGACCUCAAGCAUUUUGCACUCCGAAUGUCAAACCCAACUCAUUGUCAUCUCUGAAGCUGCUCACUUAAUUCUCCUCUGCAUUCUCUUUAACAACCCAGUUGCCCAACCCAGAAACUGGGAGUCAUGCAGACCUCCUUCCUCUCUUACUCCCACACAGUGAGCCAUAAAGUCCAGUCUUUCUAUCUUAACAUCACUGUCAAACCCACACUCUGUUCCAUGCCCAGCACUGCCAAGUGAAUGUACUCUCCUCACUUCCUUCCUGGAUUACCCAUAGCCCCACCUCAUCCUCCUACCCUUGCUUCCUCCCUGAAGUCAGAGAGAUGCUACUCAAGAGAUAACUGCUUCUGACAGCCCUUAUUACAGAACUGAAGUACUCUCCUUAGCUUCAGCUCUGUGCCCACAUGCCUUGGCUUUGGAUACAACAUACUACAGCACUUUGUCCACUCUCCAGGCUUAUGUCUGUCACUCCACAUGCACAUCUUAGAAAAUGUCAGCCUUAGGAGAAUUCUCCCUAGCCCCAAAAUGUCUUUGCCCAGUGCAAUUCCUUCUUUCUGUAGUACCGCUUUCCCUCCUCCACACUACCUGCCUGGCUAAUUCUUAUUUAUCCUCAGUUCAAGUGUGGCCUUCUCUGGGAAGCUGACCCUCCUUGCCCACCCCUUGUAUAUACUCUGAUGCCCUAGGGCACACCCCCUUUAUUUCCCUCAUAGAAACAGCCUUCUGUAAAUUGUUCCAUCACAUCACAACCUGUAUUUCAAUUUGCAAGAAAUUUGCAUGUACUGUGAGCUCCCCACCAUCAGGAGACUGACCCUUUUGAUAUCAUUACUAAGCCUCAGUAAAUGAAUGAAUGAAAAAUGAA